CAGCCGCCGCGGUAAGACAGAGGAUGCAAGCGUUGUUCGGAUUCAUUGGGCGUAAAGGGAGCGUAGGCGGUCGGGUAAGUUGGAUGUGAAAUCCUGGGGCUCAACCUCAGAACUGCAUUCAAUACUGCUUGGCUAGAGUACUGGAGAGGUGAGUGGAAUUCACGGUGUAGCAGUGAAAUGCGUAGAUAUCGUGAGGAAGACCAGCGGCGAAGGCGGCUCACUGGACAGUUACUGACGCUGAUGCUCGAAGGCCAGGGGAGCAAACGGGAUUAGAUACCCCGGUAGUCCCUGUCUCUUAUAC
rnacentral:rRNA from 1 species